rnacentral:rRNA from 1 species
AUUAGCCAUGCAUGUCUCAGUACAAGCCUAAUUAAGGUGAAACCGCGAAUGGCUCAUUAAAUCAGUUAUGGUUCCUUGGAUAUUACCCACACUUACAUGGACAACUGUGGUAAUUCUAGAGCUAAUACACGAACCUUGUGCCCCGACCAGUGAUGGAAGGGGUGUAUUUAUUAGAACAAAACCAAUCGGUCGGCUCGUCCGUCCGUUGCCUUGGUGACUCUGAAUAACUUUGGGCUGAUCGCACGGUCCCAGCACCGGCGACGCAUCUUUCAAAUGUCUGCCUUAUCAACUUUCGAUGGUAGGUUCUGCGCCUACCAUGGUUGUAACGGGUGACGGGGAAUCAGGGUUCGAUCCCGGAGAGGGAGCCUGAGAAACGGCUACCACAUCCAAGGAAGGCAGCAGGCGCGCAAAUUACCCACUCCCGGCACGGGGAGGUAGUGACGAAAAAUAACGAUACGGGACUCAUCCGAGGCCCCGUAAUCGGAAUGAGAACACUUUAAAUCCUUUAACGAGGAUCUAUUGGAGGGCAAGUCUGGUGCCAGCAGCCGCGGUAAUUCCAGCUCCAAUAGCGUAUAUUAAAGUUGUUGCGGUUAAAAAGCUCGUAGUCGGAGGUGUGUCUCGGACGGUCGGUUCGCCGCUUGUCGGUGCUCAACUGGCCGGUCCGGACGUCCUGCCGGUGGGGCUGUAAAAGGCUCCGUUAUCCUUCUUUGGUCCUCUUCAUUGAGUGCCUUGGUGGGCCGGCACGUUUACUUUGAACAAAUUAGAGUGCUCAAAGCAGGCCGUUGGUCGCCUGAAUACUGUGUGCAUGGAAUAAUGGAAAAGGACCUCUGUUCCAUUUUGUUGGUUUUCAGAACUAGAGGUAAUGAUUAAUAGGGACGGACGGGGGCAUUCGUAUUGCGACGUUAGAGGUGAAAUUCUUGGAUCGUCGCAAGACGAACCGAUGCGAAAGCAUUUGCCAAGAACGUUUUCGUUGAUCAAGAACGAAGUUAGAGGUU